CCAUGCAGUCAGAGACGCUAAGAAAAUUGAAACUGAAGAGAGAAAGAAGCUAUGCGGAUCCCACGCACUGUGGGAUUCGAGCAUACACCUGCAGCACCUUUGGGACUAAUGACAUAAAGGUCAUGGCCAGCCUGGCGACCAUGCUUGCCAAGGAGUAGUGUAAAUAUUUAAUCUGUUUCCAUAAUAGCAUAAGACAAGAAUUUAAGGAAUUCAUGUAUUAUAUCGAGCAAUAAAAACGGUUAAUGCAUUGCC